CCUACGGGUGGCAGCAGUGAGGAAUAUUGGUCAAUGGGCGCGAGCCUGAAGCAGCCAAGUAGCGUGAAGGAUGACUGCCCUAUGGGUUGUAAACUUCUUUUAUAUAGGAAUAAAGUGUGGCACGUGUGACAUUUUGUAUGUACUUUAUGAUUAAGGAUCGGCCAACUCCGUGCCAGCAGCCGCGGUAAUACGGAGUAUCCGAGCGUUAUCCGGAUUUAUUGUGUUUAAAGGGAGCGUAGGUGGUUUGUUAAGUCAGUUGUGAAAUUUUGAGGCUCAACCGUAAAAUUGCAGUUGAUACUGGCAGUCUUGAGUACAGUAGAGGUGGGCGGAAUUCGUGGUGUAGCGGUGAAAUGCUUAGAUAUCACGAAGAACCCCGAUUGCGAAGGCAGCUCACUGGACUGUGACUGACACUGAGGCUCGAAAGUGUGGGUAUCAAACAGGAUUAGAUACCCGUGUAGUC
rnacentral:rRNA from 1 species